GGUGUCAAUCACGCCAAGCUCACCCAGACAAUAAUCCCAGCAGCAAUAGGAAGAGGGCUGCCCCCAACACAAGUUCUCAUGGAGCUGCAGAUGAGUACAGGCAAUUUAAACCGGAAGAACUAAAGCACAGGGAUGCUGUGAUAGAACAGAGGUCUAAAUCAAUUUCUUCAAGAGAGGCUAAUAAUUUGCCAGGGGCAUCAGAUAGAGCUUCCAAAUACAGAUCUGCUGAGAAGCCUACCAAAGUGGAUGAUGGCCAUAUUGGGGAAUUGUCUUUGGAAAGAUCUUCAAGAUCUAAAGCUUCACCCAUGGGCCUGGUGGAUAGAUCUCCUACGUCAUCAAGUAUGGAGUGUAGAUCCAUGAAUAGGUCUGGUGUUAGACGAAGUGUUGACAUCGAAGAAUCAGGGAGGAGGAGUAGUGGUUCCAUGGGUGCAAGAGAUUUGCCUUAUGCUGAUGACAGGUCAAAUCGGGAUUUACCUUUGGAGAAGUCUCUAGCUGAUGAGUCAACUUCAGUUGAUUCAUCCUUUUACAAUAGACAUAGUCAAAGCAACUCUGCUUUGAUUCCUCCAUCUGCUUUCCGAGGUGGAGUUGGCAGCCCUUCUUUUCUUGGUUCACUGGACGAAGAUUGUAGAAUUAAAAGUGGUGCCCGCUACAAGAGGAGUGCUGA
rnacentral:misc_RNA from 1 species